rnacentral:misc_RNA from 1 species
GAUGAAGAACGUAGCGAAAUGCGAUAAGUAAUGUGAAUUGCAGAAUUCAGUGAAUCAUCGAAUCUUUGAACGCACAUUGCGCCCGCCAGUAUUCUGGCGGGCAUGUCUGUCCGAGCGUCAUUUCAACCCUCGAACCCCUCCGGGGGGUCGGCGUUGGGGAUCGGCCCUGCCUCUUGGCGGUGGCCGUCUCCGAAAUACAGUGGCGGUCUCGCCGCAGCCUCUCCUGCGCAGUAGUUUGCACACUCGCAUCGGGAGCGCGGCGCGUCCACAGCCGUUAAACACCCAACUUCUGAAAUGUUGACCUCGGAUCAGGUAGGAAUACCCGCUGAACUUAAGCAUAUCAAUAAGCGGAGGA